rnacentral:rRNA from 1 species
GAGCGCCGUAGCAAUACGGAGCGGCAGACGGGAGAGUAACACGUGGGAACGUACCCUUUGGUUCGGAACAACCCAGGGAAACUUGGGCUAAUACCGGAUAAGCCCUUACGGGGAAAGAUUCAUCGCCGAAGGAUCGGCCCGCGUCUGAUUAGCUAGUUGGUGGGGUAAUGGCCCACCAAGGCGACGAUCAGUAGCUGGUCUGAGAGGAUGAUCAGCCUCACUGGGACUGAGACACGGCCCAGACUCCUACGGGAGGCAGCAGUGGGGAAUAUUGGACAAUGGGCGCAAGCCUGAUCCAGCCAUGCCGCGUGGGUGAUGAAGGCCCUAGGGUUGUAAAGCCCUUUCGGCGGGGAAGAUAAUGACGGUACCCGCAGAAGAAGCCCCGGCUAACUUCGUG